rnacentral:lncRNA from 1 species
UUGUUGAAUUUAGGGUUGAUGGUGACUAGAUAAGGAAGAUGAAGCUGGAGGGAUUCCAGGGAUAAGAGGGACCGGAGGGAGCGGAAUAGGGAGAGAAGGUGGCGGCAUAGGUAGCGAAGGCGGAUUUACGACUGGAACAGGAGGAAGAACCGGAAGAGGUGGAAGAGUUGGAAUUGUUGGAACCGGUGGGAGAGUUGGUGUUGCCGGGGGAGAAGGAAGUAGCGGAAUCGGUGGUAGAGUUGGUGUUGCUGGAGGAGAGGGAAGUAGGGGAAUUGGAGGGAGAGUUGGGGGAGACGGGAUCAACGGGUUUGGAGGAAGAGUUGGGGUUGGGAUAGAAGGGAUCAGAGGGUUUGGAGGGAUGACGGAUGGCGGGUUUAGCGGGUUUGGAGGAAGGAAGAAGAAAUCGGGUUUUAGCACUUCGGUUUUCUUGUCUUCCAAGGAACCAUAUUUCUUGCUAUGCAAGGAAGCUGAUUUCCGUGAUCCUGAUGUUCCUGGAGGAAGAAGAGGAGGAAUUGUAGGAAGAGGCAAGUCCGGAAGCGGAGGUACGAUUGGGAGAUUUGGGAUAGCGGAAGGAGUAGGCGGAUCUUGGAUCGGUGGAGGGAAUGAGGGAUCCGGUAAAAGAGGCUUGGUGGUUUGGCCGAGGUUGACUUGUUUUUGGCUACAAAUCUCUGGUUGGUUUUCGGGUUUGAAAGUGAAGAAUCCUGCGGAGAAGACCCUAGUGUUCUCUCCAUGGUGGUUUGAUCUAAGGCGUUUGAAAGAAGAAGAUGUCGCCGAAGAAGCUAUGGAACAGUAAGGCUGUGAGCUACUUAGCAACUUCACAGAGCAUCUCUUGAUCUUCUUCACAUGUUUGCUGACAGAGAAAGGUAGCUUCACUUUG